GGUUCCAUAGAGUAGUGGUUAACACAUCUUCUUUACACACAGAAGGUUCUAGGUUCGUGCCCCAGUGGAGCCA
rnacentral:tRNA from 1 species